rnacentral:rRNA from 1 species
GACGAACGCUGGCGGCGUGCUUAACACAUGCAAGUCGAACGGAAAGGCCCUGCUUUUGUGGGGUGCUCGAGUGGCGAACGGGUGAGUAACACGUGAGUAACCUGCCCUUGACUUUGGGAUAACUUCAGGAAACUGGGGCUAAUACCGGAUAGGAGCUCCUGCUGCAUGGUGGGGGUUGGAAAGUUUCGGCGGUUGGGGAUGGACUCGCGGCUUAUCAGCUUGUUGGUGGGGUAGUGGCUUACCAAGGCUUUGACGGGUAGCCGGCCUGAGAGGGUGACCGGCCACCUUGGGCCUGCGAUACGGCCCAGACUCCUACGGGAGGCAGCAGUGGGAAAUAUUGCACAAUGGGCGGAAGCCUGAUGCAGCAACGCCGCGUGCGGGAUGCCGGCCUUCGGGUUGUAAACCGCUUUCGCCUGUGACGAAGCGUGAGUGACGGUACCGGGUAAAGAAGCACCGGCUAACUACGUG